rnacentral:rRNA from 1 species
ACUCCUACGGGAGGCAGCAGUAGGGAAUCUUCCGCAAUGGACGAAAGUCUGACGGAGCAACGCCGCGUGAACGAUGAAGGUCUUCGGAUCGUAAAGUUCUGUUGUCAGGGAAGAACAAGUGCCGUGCGAAUAGAGCGGCACCUUGACGGUACCUGACGAGGAAGCCCCGGCUAACUACGUGCCAGCAGCCGCGGUAAUACGUAGGGGGCAAGCGUUGUCCGGAAUUAUUGGGCGUAAAGCGCGCGCAGGCGGUUUCUUAAGUCUGAUGUGAAAGCCCACGGCUCAACCGUGGAGGGUCAUUGGAAACUGGGGAACUUGAGUACAGAAGAGGAGAGUGGAAUUCCACGUGUAGCGGUGAAAUGCGUAGAUAUGUGGAGGAACACCAGUGGCGAAGGCGACUCUCUGGUCUGUAACUGACGCUGAGGCGCGAAAGCGUGGGGAGCAAACAGGAUUAGAUACCCUGGUAGUCCACGCCGUAAACGAUGAGUGCUAGGUGUUAGGGGGCUUCCACCCCUUAGUGCUGAAGUUAACGCAUUAAGCACUCCGCCUGGGGAGUACGGCCGCAAGGCUGAAACUCAAAGGAAUUGACGG